UAACGCGUGGGAAUCUGCCCUUAGGUACGGAAUAACUCAGGGAAACUUGAGCUAAUACCGUAUAAUGACUCCGGUCCAAAGAUUUAUCGCCUGAGGAUGAGCCCGCGUCGGAUUAGCUAGUUGGUGAGGUAAGGGCUCACCAAGGCGACGAUCCGUAGCUGGUCUGAGAGGAUGAUCAGCCACACUGGGACUGAGACACGGCCCAGACUCCUACGGGAGGCAGCAGUGGGGAAUAUUGGACAAUGGGCGAAAGCCUGAUCCAGCAAUGCCGCGGCUUAUGAAGGCCUUAGGGUUGU
rnacentral:rRNA from 1 species